ACAGGGAUUGCCCUAGUAACGGCGAGUGAAGCGGCAACAGCUCAAAUUUGAAAUCUGGCCCUCGUGGUCCGAGUUGUAAUUUGUAGAGGAGCUUUUGGUUAGGUGCCUUCCGAGUGCCCUGGAACGGGCCGCCAUAGAGGGUGAGAGCCCCGUCUGGUUGGACACCGAGCCUCUGUAAAGCUCCUUCGACGAGUCGAGUAGUUUGGGAAUGCUGCUCUAAAUGGGAGGUAUAUGUCUUCUAAAGCUAAAUAUUGGCCAGAGACCGAUAGCGCACAAGUAGAGUGAUCGAAAGAUGAAAAGCACUUUGAAAAGAGGGUUAAAAAGUACGUGAAAUUGUUGAAAGGGAAGCGCUUGUGACCAGACUUGGGCCCGGUCAAUCAUCCAGGGUUCUCCCUGGUGCACUUGGCCGGCCCAGGCCAGCAUCAGUUCGUCGCGGGGGAUAAAGGCGUUGGGAAUGUGGCUCCCCCGGGAGUGUUAUAGCCCUUCGUGCAAUACCCUGCUUUGGACUGAGGUUCGCGCAUCUUGCAAGGAUGCUGGCGUAAUGGUCAUCAGCGACCCGUCUUGAAACACGGACCAAGGAGUCGUCUUCGUAUGCGAGUGUUCGGGUAUCAAACCCCUACGCGUAAUGAAAGUGAACGCAGGUGAGAGCUUCGGCGCAUCAUCGACCGAUCCUGAUGUUCUCGGAUGGAUUUGAGUAAGAGCAUACGGGGCCGGACCCGAAAGAAGGUGAACUAUGCCUGUAUAGGGUGAAGCCAGAGGAAACUCUGGUGGAGGCUCGCAGCGGUUCUGACGUGCAAAUCGAUCGUCAAAUAUGGGCAUGGGGGCGAAAGACUAAUCGAACCUCUAGAGC
rnacentral:rRNA from 1 species